GUGGGGAAUUUUGGACAAUGGGCGCAAGCCUGAUCCAGCAAUGCCGCGUGCAGGAAGAAGGCCUUCGGGUUGUAAACUGCUUUUGUACGGAACGAAACGGUCCGGGUUAAUACCCUGGGCUAAUGACGGUACCGUAAGAAUAAGCACCGGCUAACUACGUGCCAGCAGCCGCGGUAAUACGUAGGGUGCAAGCGUUAAUCGGAAUUACUGGGCGUAACGCGUGCGCAGGCGGUUUUGUAAGACAGGCGUGAAAUCCCCGGGCUCAACCUGGGAAUUGCGCUUGUGACUGCAAGGCUGGAGUGCGGCAGAGGGGGAUGGAAUUCCGCGUGUAGCAGUGAAAUGCGUAGAUAUGCGGAGGAACACCGAUGGCGAAGGCAAUCCCCUGGGCCUGCACUGACGCUCAUGCACGAAAGCGUGGGGAGCAAACAGGAUUAGAUACCCGGGUAGUCC
rnacentral:rRNA from 1 species